GUCUUUCAUUCAUUCAGUAAAUACACAUUAAAUAAUGGCUAUGUUCUGAUCACUUCUAGGAGCUCAAGAUACAGUGAUGAACAAGAGUUAAGGGAUCUGCCUCAAAGAGCCCAUAUGUUACUUGGAGGAAAAAUACUAAAUUAUCAAGUGAACAAAAUAAAGAAGAUUCAUAUUGUGAUUGGUAAAAUAAAGGAAUUAAUAAUGAGACAUGAUACAAGAUAAACAUUUUCAAUGGAGAUGAUGAAAUCAGUGCAGACAAGGCUGUUUUUAUUUAAAGAGAGGAAUGAAAAGCAUGCUUUUUAAGCUAGUGGAUUGGCAAACAGAGUCCAAGGUUUUAAAAGAUCUGGCUGUUGUCCGACUGAUUUAAAGGUAUAGAUGCCUAGAAUUUGAAAGACUUACUUUGAAACUAUUUUUUAAAAUAUGAAUUGCUUGUGUGAUAAAGCUUGAUAGCUUCCCUGUAAUCACUAUCAAGAUAUAUAAACCUUUUGCACUGUUCCACUUCACAAGAAAAUUCUUCACAUGACCCCUGCUUAAUCAGUCGAAUUGUAUGAAACUAUUUCACAUUUUAACGAACCAAUGUGGGUGGUUGGAUCAUUGUAUGAUAUAUAAUACAAGAAAGAAUUUUGAAAUUUAUUCAAGGAAUAAAUCAG
ensembl:lincRNA